rnacentral:rRNA from 2 species
CAAUCAAACCGGGAGAUAGCUGGUUCUCCCCGAAAGCUAUUUAGGUAGCGCCUCGUGAAUUCAUCUCCGGGGGUAGAGCACUGUUUCGGCUAGGGGGCCAUCCCGGCUUACCAACCCGAUGCAAACUGCGAAUACCGGAGAAUGUUAUCACGGGAGACACACGGCGGGUGCUAACGUCCGUCGUGAAGAGGGAAACAACCCAGACCGCCAGCUAAGGUCCCAAAGUCAUGGUUAAGUGGGAAACGAUGUGGGAAGGCCCAGACAGCCAGGAUGUUGGCUUAGAAGCAGCCAUCAUUUAAAGAAAGCGUAAUAGCUCACUGGUCGAGUCGGCCUGCGCGGAAGAUGUAACGGGGCUAAACCAUGCACCGAAGCUGCGGCAGCGACGCUGAUGCGUUGUUGGGUAGGGGAGCGUUCUGUAAGCCUGUGAAGGUGGCCUGUGAGGGUUGCUGGAGGUAUCAGAAGUGCGAAUGCUGACAUAAGUAACGAUAAAGCGGGUGAAAAGCCCGCUCGCCGGAAGACCAAGGGUUCCUGUCCAACGUUAAUCGGGGCAGGGUGAGUCGACCCCUAAGGCGAGGCCGAAAGGCGUAGUCGAUGGGAAACGGGUUAAUAUUCCCGUACUUGGUGUUACUGCGAAGGGGGGACGGAGAAGGCUAUGUUGGCCGGGCGACGGUUGUCCCGGUUUAAGCGUGUAGGUGUGUGUUCCAGGUAAAUCCGGUUCACUUUAACACUGAGGCGUGAUGACGAGGCACUACGGUGCUGAAGCAACAAAUGCCCUGCUUCCAGGAAAAGCCUCUAAGCAUCAGGUAACAUCAAAUCGUACCCCAAACCGACACAGGUGGUCAGGUAGAGAAUACCAAGGCGCUUGAGAGAACUCGGGUGAAGGAACUAGGCAAAAUGGUGCCGUAACUUCGGGAGAAGGCACGCUGACAUGUAGGUGAAGUGAUUUACUCACGGAGCUGAAGUCAGUCGAAGAUACCAGCUGGCUGCAACUGUUUAUUAAAAACACAGCACUGUGCAAACACGAAAGUGGACGUAUACGGUGUGACGCCUGCCCGGUGCCGGAAGGUUAAUUGAUGGGGUCAGCGCAAGCGAAGCUCCUGAUCGAAGCCCCGGUAAACGGCGGCCGUAACUAUAACGGUCCUAAGGUAGCGAAAUUCCUUGUCGGGUAAGUUCCGACCUGCACGAAUGGCGUAAUGAUGGCCAGGCUGUCUCCACCCGAGACUCAGUGAAAUUGAACUCGCUGUGAAGAUGCAGUGUACCCGCGGCAAGACGGAAAGACCCCGUGAACCUUUACUAUAGCUUGACACUGAACAUUGAGCCUUGAUGUGUAGGAUAGGUGGGAGGCUUUGAAGUGUGGACGCCAGUCUGCAUGGAGCCGGCCUUGAAAUACCACCCUUUAAUGUUUGAUGUUCUAACGUGGACCCGUGAUCCGGGUUGCGGACAGUGUCUGGUGGGUAGUUUGACUGGGGCGGUCUCCUCCUAAAGAGUAACGGAGGAGCACGAAGGUUGGCUAAUCCUGGUCGGACAUCAGGAGGUUAGUGCAAUGGCAUAAGCCAGCUUGACUGCGAGCGUGACGGCGCGAGCAGGUGCGAAAGCAGGUCAUAGUGAUCCGGUGGUUCUGAAUGGAAGGGCCAUCGCUCAACGGAUAAAAGGUACUCCGGGGAUAACAGGCUGAUACCGCCCAAGAGUUCAUAUCGACGGCGGUGUUUGGCACCUCGAUGUCGGCUCAUCACAUCCUGGGGCUGAAGUAGGUCCCAAGGGUAUGGCUGUUCGCCAUUUAAAGUGGUACGCGAGCUGGGUUUAGAACGUCGUGAGACAGUUCGGUCCCUAUCUGCCGUGGGCGCUGGAGAACUGAGGGGGGCUGCUCCUAGUACGAGAGGACCGGAGUGGACGCAUCACUGGUGUUCGGGUUGUCAUGCCAAUGGCACUGCCCGGUAGCUAAAUGCGGAAGAGAUAAGUGCUGAAAGCAUCUAAGCACGAAACUUGCCCCGA